rnacentral:rRNA from 1 species
UUUGGUGGCGAUAGCGAAGAGGUCACACCCGUUCCCAUUCCGAACACGGCAGUUAAGCUCUUCAGCGCCAAUGGUAGUUGGGGGUUUCACCCUGUGAGAGUAGGACGCCGCCAAGC